rnacentral:rRNA from 1 species
AGUGUAGGUGGUUAUGUAAGUCACAUGUGAAAGCCUUGGGCUAAACUCAAGAAAUGCAUGUGAUACUGUGUAACUAGAGUGUGAGAGGGGUAAGUGGAAUUCCUAGUGUAGCGGUAGAAUGCGUAGAGAUUAGGAGGAACACCAGAGGCGAAGGCGGCUUACUGGCUCAUAACUGACACUGAGGCUCGAAAGCGUGGGGAGCAAACA